UUCUAUGGCCAUACCACCCUGAAAUGUGCCCGAUCUCUUCUGAUCUCAGAAGCUAAGGAGGGCUGGGCCUGGUUAGUAUUUGAAU
rnacentral:rRNA from 1 species